rnacentral:rRNA from 1 species
AGGACGAACGCUGGCGGCGUGCUUAACACAUGCAAGUCGAGCGAGGUCCAUCCAAUGGCAACAUUGGUGAAGACCUAGCGGCGAACGGGUGAGUAACACGUGAGCAACCUGCCCCGAAGACCGGGAUAACAGCGGGAAACCGCUGCUAAUACCGGAUGCCCUCAUCAGGCCGCAUGACCAGAUGAGGAAAUGAAUUUCGCUUCGGGAGGGCUCGCGGGCUAUCAGCUAGUUGGUGAGGUAACGGCUCACCAAGGCUACGACGGCUAGC